CACUUUUCUAAUGGUCCGUCCCUAAAUAUACACAAUAUUUAUUCAUAAUCUGCAUGAACGAAACAGUCCGUUAUUCUGUACUGUAAAAACAGAUUGUUUAUAAAAUAACCAAUUUGAAUUGGUUGUCUCGGAUCUUAUUUGACCAGUAUUUUAUUGGUUACAACAAACAAACAUUGGGUUAUUUUAACCAAUUUUUCGGUUCUUUUCGCCAUCAAAUGAAAAUACGUCUGAGACAACCGAUUCAAAUUGGUUAUUUUAACCAAUCCGUUUAUACUUGGGUAAACAUAACGUUGAUAGUAAGUCAACAUAACUUUGAGAAGAACUCAACGUGACGUUUGCUGCUAUAGCAAAUAAUUUUAAAAAUUCGGCGCCGCGGCGCUUUGAUUGCAAAUGGCAGCAGCUAGUAUAUUUGGCGAAUCCCAUUAAGCGUUACAGGUGUAUGGUAGUGCUUAAAUUGAAAAAAUCAGUUUAAUGCUCUUGAAAAGUGUUUAUCGAGUUUAUACAAAAAGUACGCAAAAUAUACGCUUCUUAAGACCUUCUGCCCGCGACGAGCAGCUCACGCGGUGUCUCUUCUACAAGAAUGUUGAAAUUGAAAUUUACACACACGUAUCUUGGGAAAUCGCUUCAUGAUAUACUGUAUAUUUUUUCACGGUUAGAUGGUAUCUAUUUGACAACUGAUAACAGAAAGGUAAUAGAUAUCUUUAUCAAGGCCUUGCCAUUAUUUCAAGACCUAUCCAUUGAAUAUCCAUCCGAACAAUGGGACACAAUAUGACAGAAAUUUUCGAUAUCUCUUAACAUUUCCGAAUACAGACUAUAUUGCAAAAGUUGAAUUAUGCCAUGCAGUUUUACGUAAAGGUGCAUGUAGCGUUAAGUUGUGUAAAAGUGGUUAUAUAUGCUAAACUGCCUAAAUAUAUUAGUAAAAUAUAUUGCAAACAUCCCAUAGUUGAUCUACACGUCCGAUAUUGCUAUGGAAGCUACUGAUUAGUUAAUAUGUAUAUGUAUGUCAUGAUGUUAUCUGGUAUCUAUGACUCUGAUAAAAUUCUACAACCCUAUAGUAGACGCUAUUGCGUACCUAUUUUUAUUAGUUUUGUUAUACCUGUAUACACAAAACAUUUAAUAAAAAGUUUGUAAUCGUUCUUCAAUAAAAUCUACUAAUUUACUCG